rnacentral:tRNA from 1 species
CAUUAAGAAGCUAUGAACCAGCACUAGCCUUUUAAGCUAGAGAAAGAGGAAACUUCCCUCCUUAAUGA